CAGUAGCCGCGGUAAUACGAAGGGUGCAAGCGUUAAUCGGAAUUACUGGGCGUAAAGCGCACGUAGGCGGAUUUUUAAGUCAGGGGUGAAAUCCCGAGGCUCAACCUCGGAACUGCCUUUGAUACUGGAGAUCUUGAGUUCGGAAGAGGUUGGUGGAACAGCUAGUGUAGAGGUGAAAUUCGUAGAGAUGUGGAGGAACACCGAUGGCGAAGGCGGCCCCCUGGGCCAAUACUGACGCUCAUGCACGAAAGCGUGGGGAGCAAACAGGAUUAGAUACCCCAGUAGUCCCUGUCUCUUAUAC
rnacentral:rRNA from 1 species